rnacentral:rRNA from 1 species
UCCUACGGGGCGCAGCAGUAGGGAAUCUUCCACAAUGGGCAAAAGCCUGAUGGAGCAACGCCGCGUGGGUGAAGAAGGUCCUCGGAUCGUAAAACCCUGUUGUUAGAGAAGAAAGUGCGUGAGAGUAACUGUUCACGUUUCGACGGUAUCUAACCAGAAAGCCACGGCUAACUACGUGCCAGCAGCCGCGGUAAUACGUAGGUGGCAAGCGUUAUCCGGAUUUAUUGGGCGUAAAGGGAACGCAGGCGGUCUUUUACGUCUGAUGUGAAAGCCUUCGGGUUACGCGGGCUAGUGCAU